AGAUCUAGGGGGGCCCCUGCUCGCUCCACCAAGGUGUAUAAAACUUCUGAGAUAGUAGCGUUGUUACAAAACCUACCAUCGGUGGCGCUGUGAUAGCGAUUCCGGAGGCUUUGGUAGGGGGGGGGGGAGGAUUAAAAUGUAGGUGAGGUAUAUAUUCGUUGUGGUGAGGAAUUUGCUCCGCAGAUCCAAAGAUCCUAUAGAUGGACCACUCCUGCGAAAAACAAUCGGCAAUGUAGGCAAUGAAGGCAAUGUAGGCAAUGAAGGCAACCCGACUUGUCUUUCUUCAGGUUCCCCAUUAAGGAGGAAAGAUGUCGACAGUGGGUCCAGAAUACUCGCCGACAUGAUCUCCUACACCGAACUGCAGACUAUUUGUCAAAUAACUGCCGUCUUAUGUACAUUGCCACUUUCAUUUCACUGCACAUCUCGUAUGUGUAUGUGACAAAUAAACUUGACUUGACUUGACUUGUGUGAAAUUGUGAUUUGUUAACUGCACAAAACAAUGCAAAUGGCGAUUUAUUUAUUAUUGUAUCUACGUUGGACGUUUUGCUCUUUGGUGUAAGCAGGGGUAGGGCUAUCAUUGUGUUACAUACGUUGAAUUGUACAUCACUUUCACUGGUUAGCUGAUAUGCUGAACACUGCAACCCUGUAUAUCUCGCGCACAGAAUAAUGUCAGUUAUGUAAAUCUUACCCUGCAUGGCAGAAAUAAAAUGUGUUAACCAUGUUAAUUUCUAUUAUGAAUUAUUUAAAAUUGAGUGGGUUGGUGCAAUAUUGGUGCCAUUCUUCUGCAGUUGUAUAGUGCUCUGGUGAUACAACAUCUGGAGUAUUGUGUACAGUUUUGUUCUCCUAAUUUGAGGAAGGACAUCCUUGUGAUUGAGGCAGUGCAGCGUAGGUUCACGAGAUUGAUCCCUGGGCUGGCGGGACUGUCAUAUGAGGAAAGAUUGAAAAGACUAGACUUGUAUUCACUGGAGUAUAGAAGGAUGAGGGGGUAUCUUAUAGAAACAUAUAAAAUUAUAAAAGGACUGGACAAGCAAGAUGCAGGAAAAAUGUUCCCGAUGUUGAGCGAGUCCAGAACCAGGGGCCACAGGCAUAGAAUAAAGGGGAGGUCAUUUAAGACUGAGGUGAGAAAAAACUUUUUCACCCAGAGAGUUGUGAAUUUAUGGAAUUCUCUGCCACAGAGGGCGGUGGAGGCCAAGUCACUAGAUGGAUUUAAAAGAGAGUUAGAUAGAGCUCUAGGGGUUAGUGGGGUCAAGGAAUAUGCGGAGAAGGCAGGCACGGGUUAUUGAUAAGGGACGAUCAGCCAUGAAUGCCUCCUCCUGCACCUAUUUCUAUGUUUCUAUGCUGCUGCCAUUAUCAGAUAUUCAGUGUUAAAAAGAGAAAUAAAUCACAAUAAAAGCGAAAAGGUGUUCCUUCCACAGCAUUCAGAUCAGCACGGCUGAGACACCGGAGUGAAGUUGCGGGGAGGUUUACAAUGUUUUUUAAUUUAAUGUCCCUUGUCUAGUCUGAAAUAAAGUUCCAUCAUUGGAUAUAAAAAUCGGAAGAAAUGUAAAUGUGUGUGUUAUUAUUAUAUACAGCUAUAUCACAUUCAUGUAUGUGUUUUCUUUCCAGCACAAUCUAAUCAGUUGUAUGCUCGCUGAAUAAAACCAUCCUUAAGUUAUA